rnacentral:rRNA from 1 species
CGAUUAGAGUUUGAUCCUGGCUCAGAUUGAACGCUGGCGGCAGGCCUAACACAUGCAAGUCGAGCGGUAGAGAGAAGCUUGCUUCUCUUGAGAGCGGCGGACGGGUGAGUAAUGCCUAGGAAUCUGCCUGGUAGUGGGGGAUAACGUCCGGAAACGGACGCUAAUACCGCAUACGUCCUACGGGAGAAAGCAGGGGACCUUCGGGCCUUGCGCUAUCAGAUGAGCCUAGGUCGGAUUAGCUAGUUGGUGGGGUAAUGGCUCACCAAGGCGACGAUCCGUAACUGGUCUGAGAGGAUGAUCAGUCACACUGGAACUGAGACACGGUCCAGACUCCUACGGGAGGCAGCAGUGGGGAAUAUUGGACAAUGGGCGAAAGCCUGAUCCAGCCAUGCCGCGUGUGUGAAGAAGGUCUUCGGAUUGUAAAGCACUUUAAGUUGGGAGGAAGGGCAGUAAAUUAAUACUUUGCUGUUUUGACGUUACCGACAGAAUAAGCGCCGGCUAACUCUGUGCCAGCAGCCGCGGUAAUACAGAGGGUGCAAGCGUCAAUCGGAAUUACUGGGCGUAAAGCGCGCGUAGGUGGUUCGUUAAGUUGGGAUGUGAAAUCCCCGGGCUCAACCUGGAACUGCAUUCAAACUGACGAGCUAAAGUAUGGUAAAGGGUGGUGAAAUUUC